AGACCGGGUACCAAAUUACUAUAUGACAAAUUAAGUUCACACUUUUGGGCUAAAUUCAUCAUUCCAUCCCACAAAAUAAAUCCUACCAGGCUAUCAAUGUUCACUUUUUCAUCUCACUUGUCACAUUCUUUCCUACUAUUUAUUUUGCCUCCUCUAAAAUCCUAAAAACUCUCUCUCUAUCUCUCUCUCUCUCUCUCUCUCUCUCUCACAGAUCUAAAACCCGCAUUCCAGUGGCUUCCAUAGUUCCAUCUCUCAUAUCUAUAGAAUUUGUAAAUCUUCAAGUCUCAAUUUAAGAAGGAAAUUCUUCAAAUUCGUCUCGGGUCACUAGGUAGUAUCUUGAUGUCUUUAUCUCUUCAAUUUUGUUGCAAUCUUUUUUUUAUGAAUAAACACAAUAAUCUGGACAUAUUUCGUACUUAGCUUAACUGUUUAUUGUGAUUCUUUUAUUAAUUUUGUGAAAUUAGAUUGUUGGGAAAUUAAUUAAUUAAUUCAACUCAUUUAGUUUAGCAAGUUGAUUAUGGCCAAAUUCCAAUUACAUGGAUGCUUCGUAUUUAAUUUUAUGUAGUACAGUAUGUAGAGUAUGUAAUAUGAUUAUGUGUUAUAGAAAUUUGCAAGUUGCCUUG